rnacentral:rRNA from 1 species
GAUGAACGCUGGCGGCGUGCUUAACACAUGCAAGUCGAACGAUGAAGCCCAGCUUGCUGGGUGGAUUAGUGGCGAACGGGUGAGUAACACGUGAGUAACCUGCCCUUAACUCUGGGAUAAGCCUGGGAAACUGGGUCUAAUACCGGAUAGGAGCGUCCACCGCAGGGUGGGUGUUGGAAAGAUUUAUCGGUUUUGGAUGGACUCGCGGCCUAUCAGCUUGUUGGUGAGGUAAUGGCUCACCAAGGCGACGACGGGUAGCCGGCCUGAGAGGGUGACCGGCCACACUGGGACUGAGACACGGCCCAGACUCCUACGGGAGGCAGCAGUGGGGAAUAUUGCACAAUGGGCGAAAGCCUGAUGCAGCGACGCCGCGUGAGGGAUGACGGCCUUCGGGUUGUAAACCUCUUUCAGUAGGGAAGAAGCGAAAGUGACGGUACCUGCAGAAGAAGCACCGGCUAACUACGUG